UGGGGAAUAUUGGACAAUGGGCGAAAGCCUGAUCCAGCCAUGCCGCGUGUGUGAAGAAGGUCUUCGGAUUGUAAAGCACUUUAAGUUGGGAGGAAGGGCAUUAACCUAAUACGUUAGUGUUUUGACGUUACCGACAGACUAAGCACCGGCUAACUCUGUGCCAGCAGCCGCGGUAAUACAGAGGGUGCAAGCGUUAAUAGGAAUUACUGGGCGUAAAGCGCGCGUAGGUGGUUUGUUAAGUUGGAUGUGAAAUCCCCGGGCUCAACCUGGGAACUGCAUUCAAAACUGACUGACUAGAGUAUGGUAGAGGGUGGUGGAAUUUCCUGUGUAGCGGUGAAAUGCGUAGAUAUAGGAAGGAACACCAGUGGCGAAGGCGACCACCUGGACUAAUACUGACACUGAGGUGCGAAAGCGUGGGGAGCAAACA
rnacentral:rRNA from 1 species